CCUACGGGUGGCUGCAGUGAGGAAUAUUGGUCAAUGGCCGGGAGGCUGAACCAGCCAAGUCGCGUGAGGGAUGACGGCCCUACGGGUUGUAAACCUCUUUUGUCAGGGAGCAAGGUGCGGGACGGGACCCGCUUUGAGAGUACCUGAAGAAAAAGCAUCGGCUAACUCCGUGCCAGCAGCCGCGGUAAUACGGAGGAUGCGAGCGUUAUCCGGAUUUAUUGGGUUUAAAGGGUGCGCAGGCGGAGGCACAAGUCAGCGGUAAAAUUGUGGGGCUCAACCCCGCGCCGCCGUUGAAACUGUGUGCCUUGAGUGCGCGAAGGGUAGGCGGAAUGCGUGGUGUAGCGGUGAAAUGCAUAGAUAUCACGCAGAACUCCGAUCGCGAAGGCAGCCUACCGGCGCGCAACUGACGCUCAUGCACGAAAGCGUGGGUAUCGAACAGGAUUAGAUACCCGUGUAGUC
rnacentral:rRNA from 1 species